rnacentral:rRNA from 1 species
GAUGAACGCUGGCGGCGUGCCUAAUACAUGCAAGUCGAGCGAACGGACCAGAAGCUUGCUUCUCUGAUGUUAGCUGCAGACGUGUGAGUAACACGUGGAUAACCUACCUAUAAAACUGGUAUAACUUCGGGAAACCGGAGCUAAUACCGUAUAAUAUUUUGAACCGCAUGGUUCAAUAGUGAAAGACGGUCUUGCUGUCACUUAUAGAUGGAUCCGCGCUGCAUUAGCUAGUUGGUAAGGUAACGGCUUACCAAGGCAACGAUGCAUAGCCGACCUGAGUGGGUGAUAGGCCACACAGGAGCUGAGACCCCGUCCCGACUCCUACGGGAGGCAGCAGUCUGGAAUCUUCCGCCAUGGGCGAAAGCAUGACCGACCAACCCCGCGUGAGUGGUGAAGGUCUACGGAUCGUAAAACUCUGUUAUGAGGGCAGAACAUAUGUGUCAGUAACCGUGAACAUCUUGACGGUACCUAGUAAGAAAGCAACGGCUAACUACGUG